rnacentral:rRNA from 1 species
UACGUAGGGGGCGAGCGUUGUCCGGAUUUAUUGGGCGUAAAAGGCUUGUAGGCGGCCACACAGGUCCGUUGUGAAAACUCGAGGCUUAACCUCGAGACGUCGAUGGAAACCGUAUGGCUAGAGUCCGGAAGAGGAGAGUGGAAUUCCUGGUGUAGCGGUGAAAUGCGCAGAUAUCAGGAAGAACACCCGUGGCGAAGGCGGCUCUCUGGGACGGUACUGACGCUGAGACGCGAAAGCGUGGGGAGCGAACAGG